AGCGAACGCUGGCGGCAGGCUUAACACAUGCAAGUCGAACGGGCAUAGCAAUAUGUCAGUGGCAGACGGGUGAGUAACGCGUGGGAACAUACCUCUUGGUUCGGAACAACACAGGGAAACUUGUGCUAAUACCGGAUAAGCCCUUACGGGGAAAGAUUUAUCGCCGAGAGAUUGGCCCGCGUCUGAUUAGCUAGUUGGUGUGGUAAAAGCGCACCAAGGCGACGAUCAGAGCUGGUCUGAGAGGAUGAUCAGCCACAUUGGGACUGAGACACGGCCCAAACUCCUACGGGAGGCAGCAGUGGGGAAUAUUGGACAAUGGGCGCAAGCCUGAUCCAGCCAUGCCGC
rnacentral:rRNA from 1 species